rnacentral:tRNA from 1 species
GAGGUUGUGGCUCAGUGGCAGAGCACUUGCCUCCCACAUGUAAGUCACUGGGUUUGAUCCUCAGCACCACA